rnacentral:rRNA from 1 species
CCUACGGGAGGCAGCAGUGAGGAAUAUUGGUCAAUGGCCGGGAGGCUGAACCAGCCAAGUCGCGUGAGGGAAGACGGCCCUACGGGUUGUAAACCUCUUUUGUCAGGGAGCAAGGUGCAGGUCGGGACCUGCUGUGAGAGUACCUGAAGAAAAAGCAUCGGCUAACUCCGUGCCAGCAGCCGCGGUAAUACGGAGGAUGCGAGCGUUAUCCGGAUUUAUUGGGUUUAAAGGGUGCGCAGGCGGAGGCACAAGUCAGCGGUAAAAUCGCGGGGCUCAACCCCCCUCCGCCGUUGAAACUGUGGCCCUUGAGUGCGCGAAGGGUAGGCGGAAUGCGUGGUGUAGGGGUGAAAUGGAGAGAUAUCAAGGAGAACUCCGAUCGCGAAGGCAGCCUACCGGCGCGCAACUGACGCGUAUGGACGAAAGCGUGGGUAUCGAACAGGAUUAGAUACCCCAGUAGUC